GGCAUUGUGGCAUAGUGGUUUGAGCCUUGGACUAUGACUCUGAAGACCAGGGUUCAAUUCUCCGCUUGGCCA